rnacentral:rRNA from 1 species
CUUGCGGGCAGCUUACCAUGCAAGUCGAGGGGUAGAGCUCUUCGGAGUUUGAGACCGGGGCACGGGUGCGUAACGCGUAUGCAAUCUGCCUUCCACAGAGGGAUAGCCCGAGAAAUUUGGAUUAAUACCUCAUAGCAUAAUAAGCUGGCAUCAGCUUAUUAUUAAAGUCACAACGGUGGAAGAUGAGCAUGCGUCCCAUUAGCUAGUUGGUAAGGUAACGGCUUACCAAGGCUACGAUGGGUAGGGGUCCUGAGAGGGAGAUCCCCCACACUGGUACUGAGACACGGACCAAACUCCUACGGGAGGCAGCAGUGAGGAAUAUUGGUCAAUGGGCGCAAGCCUGAACCAGCCAUGCCGCGUGCAGGAUGACGGUCCUAUGGAUUGUAAACUGCUUUUGUACGGGAAGAAACACUCCUACGUGUAGGAGCUUGACGGUACCGUAAGAAUAAGGAUCGGCUAACUCCGUGCCAGCAGCCGCGGUAAUACGGAGGAUCCAAGCGUUAUCCGGAAUCAUUGGGUUUAAAGGGUCCGUAGGCGGUCUUGUAAGUCAGUGGUGAAAGCCCAUCGCUCAACGGUGGAACGGCCAUUGAUACUGCAGGACUUGAAUUACUGGGAAGCAACUAGAAUAUGUAGUGUAGCGGUGAAAUGCUUAGAGAUUACAUGGAAUACCAAUUGCGAAGGCAGGUUGCUACCAGUGGAUUGACGCUGAUGGACGAAAGCGUGGGUAGCGAACAGGAUUAGAUACCCUGGUAGUCCACGCCGUAAACGAUGGAUACUAGCUGUUGGGCGCAAGUUCAGUGGCUAAGCGAAAGUGAUAAGUAUCCCACCUGGGGAGUACGAACGCAAGUUUGAAACUCAAGGAAUUGACGGGGGCCCGCACAAGCGGUGGAGCAUGUGGUUUAUUUCGAUGAUACGCGAGGAACCUUACCAAGCUUAAAUGCAGACUGACCGAUUUAGGAAACAGAUCUUUCGCAAGACAGUUUACAAGGUGCUGCAUGGUUGUCGUCAGCUCGUGCCGUG